rnacentral:misc_RNA from 1 species
GAUGAAGAACGUAGUGAAACGCGAUAAGUAAUGUGAAUUGCAGAAUCCAGUGAAUCAUCGAAUCUUUGAACGCACAUUGCGCCCGCCAGCAUUCUGGCGGGCAUGCCUGUUCGAGCGUCAUUUCAACCCUCGACCUCCCCUUGGGGAGGUCGGCGUUGGGGACCGGCAGCACACCGCCGGCCCUGAAAUGGAGUGGCGGCCCGUCCGCGGCGACCUCUGCGCAGUAAUACAGCUCGCACCGGGACCCCGACGCGGCCACGCCGUAAAACACCCAACUUCUGAACGUUGACCUCGAAUCAGGUAGGACUACCCGCUGAACUUAAGCAUAUCAAUAAGCGGAGGA